rnacentral:rRNA from 1 species
GCGCUGAAGGAGGAGCCCGCGGCCGAUUAGCUGGUUGGUAGGGUAACGGCCUACCAAGGCUGAGAUCGGUAGCCGGCCUGAGAGGGCACACGGCCACACUGGCACUGAAACACGGGCCAG